GCACGUUGCCAUUGGCACAUGCGCAGGAGGAUGAGUGGGUGCCUGCCGAAACGACCCUUUUCUUCCUCUUACUGAGUGCUAUUUAAAGGGGAAGUAGCCCCUUUUCUUUCCUCACCCCCCCCUUUUUCUUUCUUUUUUCCCCCCUCCCCCUUGUCCAGCCUCUCCUAUGGCCUGGCCUGGGCGGUGGAGGGCGGUAGUCAUAGCGAAGACCAGGGGGUUAUGGCCGGUUCUGGAUCGACCCGGCUCCUUUACGAUUUGCCUCCCGCGGUCAUGUGCAAGUUCUACGAAAUCAUGGACGCGCUGGACCGGGCCGAGUGGGAGCGUUUCGCUUCCAGGAUUGUACGAAACCAGGUUGAAUUGCGACUGUAUGAGAAGAUGGAUGGGCGGACGCACAAUCUUAUGUGGACCUGGAUGAAUCGCAACGCCUACGUUGAUGAUUUAAUUCAGAUACUCGAUGACUUGCAACUAUACCGGGCACGUGAUAUCAUUGUUUCAGGAUGUCUGUUGCCAUGUCCCCAGAAGGCCAGGCCAGUGUCUUCUCAAAAGCCUUCUACUUCUCCUAAACCCCCACCUGCUCCAGACCCAGGUGGCAGAGGCAGCUGCAAGAUCAGUACAAAAACAUGGGAACCCCACCAAAAACCCUCCCCACCUGAACCAGAUCACUCCAAUCGUCAGCUCCCUUCAAGAGUCUCCAUUCCAAGGAGCCAUUUCAGCAGUGCAGCCUCCAACACCCUACCAUCGCCUCCUGCACAGAGUGACACACAGGGCCUUGAAUCUCUGCCCUCCACGUGCCCUUUCGAGUGGCAGUUAGAAGAGUUGCGCCAAGCUACAGACGACUUCUCUGAACAUCUCAAGAUUGGUGAAGGAGGUUUUGGCUGCGUCUACCAGGCCCGAUUGCGCAACACUGUCUAUGCUGUGAAACGGCUCAAGGAGGAAGCAGAACUGGACUGGACUGUAAUAAAGAAUAGUUUUGUCACAGAAGUGGAAAAACUUUCCCGGUUUCGCCACCCUAAUAUUGUAGAGUUUGCUGGUUGUUGUGCUGAACAGGGAUGUUUCUGCCUUGUCUAUGUCUUCCUGCCCAAGGGAUCCUUGGAAGAUCAUUUACACGGCCAGGUUGAUGCUUGCCUCUCCUGGACACAACGACACCAUGUGGCUCUGGGCACUGCCAGAGCUAUUCAGUUUCUGCACAGUGACUCCCCGAGCCUUAUCCAUGGAGAUGUAAAGAGCUCUAACAUCCUUUUGGAUGCAGCACUCAAUCCACGGCUGGCUGAUUUUGGAUUGGCACGAUUCAGCCGGCGGCCAAAGCAGGGAGCAAUAAGCAGUUCACUGGGCCAGACCCAGACUGUGAGGGGUACAUUGGCCUAUCUACCUCCUGAAUACGUCCGGACUGGGAUGCUUUCUACUGCUAUUGAUAUAUUCAGCUUUGGUGUGGUUCUUCUAGAACUCUUGACUGGAAGACGACCCAUGGAAGUAGAUUCUCGUGGACACAGCAAGUACUUGAAGGAUCUGGUAAGUGAUGAAGAGGAGCAAGAAGCCCACCUGUCAACAAACACAGCUUCUUCCAGUCAUACCAAAGCAGUUCAGCUUGGCAGUCAUCUCUACCAAAAGCACGUAGACCUCCGGUCUGGCCCCUGUCCAGAGCAACUGGGCAAAACACUAGGAAAGUUGGCUUGUUGCUGUCUCCACCCGCGAGCCAAGCGCCGCCCUUCAAUGGCUGAAGUCUAUCAAGAGCUAGAGAGGCUACAGUUACCCCUACGUGGGAAAUCUUCUGCCUCUUUACUACUGCCUCCACAGCAACCUCACACACCCCAAGAAGACUACUAUUCAUCCAUGCCUCUUAAUGAACCUGAGGAAAGUGAUGAAAGCCUAGAGGCCAACUCCAAACUGUUGAGCUACAGAAGAGUGACCACAGAAAGUGUGUCUAUUGGCCAGUUAGGUACGAUAUUCUGCAGACAUCUCUUUCUCCCACUCCAUUCAGAGGCUUUGCCAGACAGAAUGAUCAGCCGGCUAAACAGAUAACAGAAAGCUAUAAGGGUGGGGUUCACACAAGAUGACAAGCCAAAUAUAAGCAAACAACAUUAUAUAUCAUCAAGGCCAUGUUGCGGCAAAUAACAGCCAUAUAUUUAAAGCAGUGUUUAUCAACUACCAGAUGUAUAGACUUCAGCUCAGAAUUUUCAGCAAUGGCUGCAUGGCUGCACUGCUUGGGAAAUCCAGUGAGCUGAACACCAAAGAGCUGGAAGUUACUAAGAUGGAAGGAAUGAUGCAAUUAAGAAGGUAACCCUACUCCUCAGAUUGUCAUCAACCCAGCACGGAGGCGCAUGAUGGAACGGCUGGCACUGUAUCAUGAGGGGGAGCUUGACAGCCUGGCUGUGCUUGCCUCUACACCUUCAGGAGAAG